GACGAACGCUGGCGGCGUGCUUAACACAUGCAAGUCGAACGGAAAGGCCCUGCUUUUGUGGUGUGCUCGAGUGGCGAACGGGUGAGUAACACGUGAGUAACCUGCCCUUGACUUUGGGAUAACUUCAGGAAACUGGGGCUAAUACCGGAUAGGAGCUCCUGCUCCAUGGUGUGGGUUGGAAAGUUUCGGCGUUUCGGGAUGGACUCGCGGCUUAUCAGCUUCUUGGUGUGGUAGUGGCUUACCAGGGCUUUGACGGGUAGCCGGCCUGAGAGGGUGACCGGCCACAUGGGGACUGAGAUACGGCCCAGACGGCUACGGGAGGCAGCGGGGGGGAAUAUUGCACAAGGGGCGGAAGCCUGAUGCAGCAACGCCGCGUGCGGGAUGACGGCUUUAGGGGUGUAAACAGCUUUCGCAUGUGACGAAGCGAGAGUGACGGUAACGGGUAAAGAAGCACCGGCUAACUACGUG
rnacentral:rRNA from 1 species